rnacentral:rRNA from 1 species
AGCGAACGCUGGCGGCAGGCUUAACACAUGCAAGUCGAACGGGCUUCUUCGGAAGUCAGUGGCAGACGGGUGAGUAACACGUGGGAACGUGCCCUUCGGUUCGGAAUAACUCAGGGAAACUUGAGCUAAUACCGGAUACGCCCUUAUGGGGAAAGGUUUACUGCCGAAGGAUCGGCCCGCGUCUCAUUAGCUUGUUGGUGGGGUAACGGCCUACCAAGGCGACGAUCAGUAGCUGGUCUGAGAGGAUGAUCAGCCACACUGGGACUGAGACACGGCCCAGACUCCUACGGGAGGCAGCAGUGGGGAAUAUUGGACAAUGGGCGCAAGCCUGAUCCAGCCAUGCCGCGUGAGUGAUGAAGGCCUUAGGGUUGUAAAGCUCUUUUGUCCGGGACGAUAAUGACGGUACCGGAAGAAUAAGCCCCGGCUAACUUCGUG